AGAUGAUUUUUGUCAAAAAUGAAAGUGGCCGCAUCCGUGUUCAUCCUCAACCUUUAUAUAUGUUAUGUAUUAUCAUAAAAUACAACUUACAUUUCAAUAUUAAGGAUGAACACGAAUGCGGCCACUUUCGUUUCACACGAAAACUGUCUAAAAUUUAACUAAAAUGCUAAAAUUGUGAAGAUUUCAGUAAUUUAGCAUGACUUAAUGGUGCUAGUACCCGAUAUAUGUGCAUUGUAUUGUCAAAAACAGCCCAUAUUUAUGUAGCAGAAGCAUUCUACUGUCCAAUAAAUAACAAAAGUUUACAUUUUAACAAUUUUGUAAAACUGCUAUAUUUUGGGGCCAAAAAGGGGUCUUACUGAACCUACUCCUUUG
rnacentral:lncRNA from 1 species